UGAGGAACAUGACCUUCGGCGGGGGAUAGCCGGCCCAACGGCCGGGUAAUACCGCGUACGACCACAUGGGGACAUCCCUGAGUGGUGAAAGCAGCAAUGCGCCGAUGGAGUGCCUCGCGGCCUAUCAGCUAGUUGGUGAGGUAACGGCUCACCAAGGCGACGACGGGUAGCUGGUCUGAGAGGAUGGCCAGCCACAGUUGGGACUGAGACACCGGCCCAGACCUCGUACGGGGAGG
rnacentral:rRNA from 1 species